CUGUCUGAGAUAUGAUUGCCGAAACAAAAUGACUGAAUGGAAAAAGUUUAUACAUUUAUUGUUAUGAAUAAAGAUUUAAGUUGCGAUUAUAUUCUGAUGUUGCUAACCUGGUUAACGAAACGUUUGACAAAAAUAUAUAACUUCGUUAGGUCAAUUUAUUAACACUGAUUUGAAAUAUUUAAGGAAAUAGUUGUCAGAUCUGUUUGAAAAACUGAAUUAGUUGUCGUCGCGAAAUCACCGACGAGCAAUGUUUUUCUGCCGACUCUAUAACUACUUCACUGGCCAACAAAAACGAACAUCGAUUAAUGUUUAGUCAACUUGGGGUCAUUGUUCACUUCAUUCAUUUUAUUCGAGUGCCGCCCUGUUCAAUAGUUGUUUUUGUUUUGCAUUGUUGGCAAUGGUAAUAACUGAAUUUGCACCAAUCUUGGGCCAUGAAUAUUUUUCCACGCCAAUGCCAAUGUAAUCUGGAGUGUCAAAAAUUGAUAGUAUAAGGUUAAUUACCAGCAUUCUAUGUUUUGAUGAAUCUUUUGAUUUCCGAGUGCAACCUACACUAAAUUCAUUGAUGAAAUAUUUUUAAUCACGUGGUCACACCAAUGCUAUGUUUUGAUCCUGGUUCAAGAUGGCGGAUGUUACACGAACACAUAAUGGUCCUAUGGAUGAUUCUGAUAAAGAAAUUGUACUCGAAGCUUUCAAUCCAACCAAUUGAAUUUGCCAAUGAGAGAGUUUUGGCAACGGGAUACUUCUGAAAAGUUCCACCCAUAUCAGAUGAGAAACAACAACCAGAAUUGUUCAAUCUGAUCAUAUCACACAAACAUAAGUCGAAGAAACUGGAGACUUCCAGUUGAAGGUGGGCACACCCGUCACAUCAGAAAAACAUCUCUCAUUGCCUGAUGAAGCACUCACAUCAUCGAAAUUUAAAAUAUUCUUUGAUUUUGAAAGGCAACUAGAUGACAUUGAACGUCUAUCGGAGGACCAUAAAAAUCAACAAGAUGCAACGAAUCAUAGAAGGAGUGUACAUUAAUCUGAACCUGCUGAAUUGGAGCAACAAAGAGCCGAUAUAUGAUUUCCAUACGCGGAGAAGUAUUUUCUCUUAUUUCAAUAUGAAGUACACCUGAUGAGGACAAUAUGAAUAUAUCUCAUGAAUUUUUUUCAGUAUGUAAUAAGUAGCCCAAAUAAUUUACUUUUUC
rnacentral:misc_RNA from 1 species